rnacentral:rRNA from 1 species
AACGUAGGAGACAAACGUUAUCCGGAGUUACUGGGCGUAAAGAGCUCGUAGGCGGUCGGGUAAGUCGGGUGUGAAAUCUCCGGGCUCAACUCGUAGGGGCCACCCGAUACUGCACGACUCGAGUCCGGUAGGGGAGUGGGGAAUUCCUGGUGUAGCGGUGAAAUGCGCAGAUAUCAGGAGGAACACCGGUGGCGAAGGCGCCACUCUGGGCCGGUACUGACGCUGAGGAGCGAAAGCGUGGGUAGCAAACAGG